rnacentral:rRNA from 1 species
UACGAAGGGGGCUAGCGUUGCUCGGAAUCACUGGGCGUAAAGGGUGCGUAGGCGGCGGGGCAAGUCUGAUGUGAAAUCCUGGGGCUCAACCCUGGAACUGCAUUGGAUACUUCCUUGCUAGAGUACUGGAGAGGAAACUGGAAUUUACGGUGUAGCGGUGAAAUGCGUAGAUAUCGUAAGGAAGACCAGUGGCGAAGGCGGGUCUCUGGACAGUUCCUGACGCUGAGGCACGAAGGUCAGGGGAGCAAACGGG